GGGCGAUCAGUUUCUUCGUUUUGUCAGGAGGCUCAUUCGAAUAGUACGGCUCGGGGGUGGGUUUCUGCUGCGUUUGCCCUCUCCGCUGCAGGCUACAUGCUUCAGAACCAGGAAGUGCAUGCAGCUGAGUUGGAGCGCACAUUUAUUGCAAUAAAGCCUGAUGGAGUGCAAAGAGGAUUGAUUUCAGAGAUUGUAUCACGAUUUGAGAGGAAAGGUUUUAAGCUUGUGGCCGUUAAGCUUGUAGUUCCUUCGAAGGAGUUUGCUG
rnacentral:misc_RNA from 1 species